GCUGUGGUAGCUCAGUGGUAGAGCACACCCUUGGUAAGGGUGAGGUCGGGAGUUCGAUCCUCCCUCACAGCA
rnacentral:tRNA from 2 species